GAAAUGCGAUAAGUAGUGUGAAUUGCAGAAUUCAGUGAAUCAUCGAAUCUUUGAACGCACAUUGCGCCCCUUGGUAUUCCAUGGGGCAUGCCUGUUCGAGCGUCAUUUGUACCUUCAAGCUUUGCUUGGUGUUGGGUGUUUGUCUCGCCUCUGCGCGCAGACUCGCCUCAAAACAAUUGGCAGCCGGCGUAUUGAUUUCGGAGCGCAGUACAUCUCGCGCUUUGCACUCAUAACGACGACGUCCAAAAAGUACAUUUUUUACACUCUUGACCUCGGAUCAGGUAGGGAUACGCGCUGAACUUAAGC
rnacentral:misc_RNA from 1 species